AUUGAACGCUGGCGGAAUGCUUUACACAUGCAAGUCGAACGGCAGCACGGGGGCAACCCUGGUGGCGAGUGGCGAACGGGUGAGUAAUACAUCGGAACGUGCCCAGUCGUGGGGGAUAACGUAGCGAAAGUUACGCUAAUACCGCAUACGAUCUACGGAUGAAAGCGGGGGACCGUAAGGCCUCGCGCGAUUGGAGCGGCCGAUGUCAGAUUCGGUAGUUGGUGAGGUAAAGGCUCACCAAGCCGACGAUCUGUAGCUGGUCUGAGAGGACGACCAGCCACACGGGGACUGGUACACGUCCCAUACUCCUACGGGAGGCAGCAGUGGGGAAUUUUGGACAAUGGGCGCAAGCCUGAUCCAGCCAUUCCGCGUGCAGGACGAAGGCCUUCGGGUUGUAAACUGCUUUUGUACGGAACGAAAAGGCUCUGGUUAAUACCUGGGGCUCAUGACGGUACCGUAAGAAUAAGCACCGGCUAACUACGUGCCAGCCGCCGCGGUAA
rnacentral:rRNA from 1 species